rnacentral:miRNA from 1 species
AGGCAGUGUAUCGUUAGUUUGCUG